rnacentral:rRNA from 1 species
GGAAUUGUUCGCAAUGGGCGCAAGCCUGACGACGCAACGCCGCGUGGAGGAUGAAGAUCUUCGGGUCGUAAACUCCUUUCGAUCGAGACGAAUUCUUCGGGGGUGAACAAUCCCCGGCAAUGACGGUACCGAGAGAAGAAGCCCCGGCUAAACCCGUGCCAGCAGCCGCGGUAAUACGGGGGGGGCAAGCGUUGUUCGGAAUUACUGGGCGUAAAGGGCUCGUAGGCGGCCAACUAAGUCGGACGUGAAAUCCCUCGGCUCAACCGGGGAACUGCGUCCGAUACUGGAUGGCUUGAGUUCGGGAGAGGGAUGCGGAAUUCCAGGUGUAGCGGUGAAAUGCGUAGAUAUCUGGAGGAACACCGGUGGCGAAGGCGGCAUCCUGGACCGGCACUGACGCUGAGGAGCGAAAGCCAGGGGAGCAAAC